GCUUCUGAGGGUCGUCGUCGUAGGAACCAUCUGAUAAAAUAAAAGAUGAUGAUGCUGAUCGUAUGCGUAAUGUCAAGUAACCGACAGUGAACUGAUGAACGUCUGUUGUCAAGUUUUGCGGAAGAUGGUGCUGUUGUUUAACUAAGUCGAUUGCUGCCUUUAAAUUCCUGAUGUCUUUCGAGUUUUUGCGGAGGAUUAGUUUGUGAAGUUUUACGAAUUUUUACAGCAAAAGAAGGCGCGGGAGACUCGCCUUCAUCCUUCUCCGUCUGCAGCUUUUCGUUCUGAAUUGGCGUAUAGAACUUUCAAUAAACUAAAACAAUUGAGAUGAAGCAUGGAUGAUAGGAAUAGAUGCAAGGAAGAAUGAAGAUGAUGGAAGGAUCGAAUCGAUAAAGAUCAUAAUCACGACAAUGAUAGAAUUACUCAAUGGCAGAAAUAAUCAUCAUCAUCAGCGGCGCAACAACCGGUAUCCGGUCUAGGCCUGCCUUAAUAAGGAACUCCAGACAUCCCGAUUUUGAGCCGAG